rnacentral:lncRNA from 1 species
GGAAUCCCAAAUUCUCUGCACUUUCUCUUGAGAACAGUAAGCCCAACUUUUAGAUUUCUUGAUGCUUCUACGAUAGGCAUGCCAAAGUACUGGACCAAAUCUGAUAAGGAAAUUUUUGCUACAAGGUCACUGGGUGCCCUCUUUUUUUUCCCUGGCAAACCUGCAAACUCAUUCCUUAUCUGUUAGAUAUAAAUAAUAUGCAUGGUGUUAUUAACUCAACAUUAGGAAGCUUCACAUAUGGGGGAGGAGAAUGUACAGGAUAGGAAAACAUUUUUUUGGGGUCUAAGAGUAAGACGCAUCCAAAAACAAAUUUUUGCCCCAACUAAUCCCAGUCAAGCUCAGUGAUUUCAUUUAAGGUGGUGAAGCAAAUGUCACUUUGCAAAGUAUGUACUGCGCUAAAAUAUAUAGUAUCCAAAAAAAAAAUUAAUAGUUGAAGUGUAUACAGCAAAUAAGACUGAGCUGCUGGAACAAAGGGAAUGUCAUCAAAAUUGGGAGCAAACAUGGUAUACAGGAUUCAAGGUAAUAAUGUCAAUCCUUCAAAAGUGAGAAACAUCAAAAGUUUUAAAACCUAAAAUGUUACACUCCAUUAGUAUAGUCAUCAGAGAGGAUUCAUAUAUUUGAUUAGCAAUUCCGAACUGUAGAUUUAAGUUACAACUUACAACAACAAUAUAGUCAUGACAGUAAAAACUUGAACUUCAAGGUUACACUUGGGUUUCAUCAAGCGAAUUUAAAGAUUGAAUAUGUUCAUAUAGUAGCAAAGCUGCAGAAUAAACUGCGAGAGUAUUGAUUCUGAACCUGGUGAGCUUUCAACAUCUGUCUCAUUGUCCAGUAACUCAGACUCGUCUUCUUCAUAAGGAAGAUAAUUGAGAUCCUGAUCAAGAACGGGAAAGACUUUUUCUGAUGGUUGGAAAUUGUUGCUGUUCCCUUGACAUUCUUCCCCUGUAGAGCCUAGAGUUGUAUGUCUGUCUUCCUCCUUCCUGUCCAACUUGUAGAUCAUGUGGAGAUCACGGAGCAAGUUUGGAAUCAUCUGAAGCUUUGGGUUUCUGAGAAAUCAAAAUGAAUAAUAAAGUGAGUUAGAUAAAUUACAAGUUACUUUGUAGAAGUACUAAAAAACAAAAUGGAGAAGCCUAGAAAAUUUUUAAUUUGUAAAUGUGGUGCCACAGUUGUGUAGAGAGAUAUUUUGGAGUCAUACAGUUGUCAAGGUUUUAAUCACCCAACGUUUAUGAUACAGUGAAAUAGUGAUUUCAAGAUAAGGCUAUUAAGAAUAUAGGCAUGUCAUAUCAAACAUAAGAACAGUGCUAAGAAAUACAUGCAUAAUUUUGCAAUUUGCAGAUAAUGUCAUUCCUGCCAAAAGACAAUUGGACUGUGGCAUUUCAAUGAAACCCAGAAAAUCCAAUAGGCUUUUUACUCUACUAUGAACAUGAAGAAAAUGAAAUAAAUGAGGUUUAAAACCCUGUAAAGGAAAAGAUAACAAGCAGGAUAAAAUAUAGAUAUUUGGACAUUCAUAGAAGAAAAAUAGGAGAUAAGUUUUAGGGUAUUUUAGGGAGAAGAAAGAAGGUGAGGAAAGUUAAAAUAAGAAGUCAUCUGCUUCUAGAAAUUAAAGGUACUGAGGUAUACCUUCCCCUCAAAUUGAUAUUAUAAAGAAAGUUAUGCAAAAUACCAUUUUUCUAAGAACAUACAGUACAUGUUUUGAUAUCACCUUGUCCCCUUUAAUUUGGAGGGUAAAAAAUCAACUUUUUGUGAGGGGGGUGGAGAUUGGAGAGGAAUUGGUCUACUCUAUUCCAUUCCUUUUCUUUAGAAUUUAAAUAAAAUGCAAAGCAUAUAUUCAAGUAUUUUAGCUUCAUACAUAAAGUAUCAACUUUAUUCUUGAUUCCCUUUCCUCCUCAAAGUGUAAACAAGGCAGUAUUAGUUAUUCUUUUAUGUCCCGGUAAACCAAUUAUAUAAAUAUAAUAUUGCUUAAGGAAAGAUGAACCUGAGUGCCAUAUUACAAAAUGGUUAAGUGAACAUAUUACUUUGUCUUACUACAGGAAGACAACCAAAAUGUUACUGAUGGAGGGAAAAAAAUUCUACAAGAUCUGUGCAUGCAUCUCCAAUUUUUGGGUGUUUGGGGAAAGGACGUCUCUAGUUUUCACCUUAAAACACAUCCACUUUUUCUUUUCAGUAGAAGCAAACAUCACUUGCUUCAUCCAAAGAUGCUGUCACUCACUAAACUUUGCUUAUUCUAGUUUGAAGCAUUAGAUUUGUUCUGUUUGUUAUGUAUCUAACCAAUAAAAUAACAUUAAUGCCAUUCGCACUUAAAACUUUCACAACAUUCCUUAAGUCUCACACUUCUCUAUCUUCUU